rnacentral:rRNA from 1 species
GUGUUCCGCCUGGGGAGUACGUCCGCAAGGAUGAAACUCAAAGGAAUUGACGGGGACCCGCACAAGCGGUGGAGUAUGUUCUUUAAUUCGAUGCAACGCGAAGAACCUUACCUGGGCUUGACAUCACCGAAAUCACCUUUAUACGGUGAGUGCCUCGAUUUAUCGAGGAAUCGUGUGACAGGUGCUGCAUGGCUGUCGUCAGUUCGUGUCGUGAGAUGUUGGGUUAAGUCCCGCAACGAACGCAACCCCUGUCUUUAGUUACCAGCAUUAAGUUGGGGACUCUAGAGAGACUGCCAAGGUGACAACUUGGAGGAAGGUGGGGACGACGUCAAGUCAUCAUGGUCCUUACGUCCAGGGCUAGAAACGUACUACAAUGGUUGGCACAGAGGGGAGCAACACAGCGAUGUGAAGCAAAUCCUUAAAACCAACCUCAGUUCGGAUUGGAGUCUGCAACUCGACNNCNNNAAGUUGGAAUCGCUAGUAAUCGCGGAUCAGCAAUGCCGCGGUGACG